UGUGUUGGAUUUUGAUCCUUUGAUUCCUAAUUUUGACAUAAUUAAUAAUUCAACAAUGUUCAUACAAUACAUGAUAAAUCUAAUAUUUGAAUUGAGCAAGAUUUCAGGAACCAUAAUCAAAUCCUACACACUUGGAUCAAAUUGCUUGGAACACAAGAAAUCAACAAAAGUUGAAUUCUGACUAUGUAAAUCGAUUGGGAAAUCGAUUUCAUAACAAGGGUGUAAGGAAAUCUUAAGUGUUUGUAAAUGUGAAAUCGAUUAGGCAAUCGAUUAGCUUAAUUAAAAAAAUGAAAACUGCACAAGUCAGUAGCCUCUGAUUUGGAGAGUAAUCGAUUGGGAAAUCGAUUGAACAUUUCACAAAUCAAACCUGAUGGUAACACAUCGAUUGGUAAAUCGAUUGGAUGAGUCACAGUGGCACUCCAGUGCUGAGGAAAUCGAUUGACAAAUCGAUUGACAAAGUAUCAUUUGAAAAAUAACCUCACCUGUGACAAAUACAAUCGAUUGGACAAUC
rnacentral:lncRNA from 1 species